GACGAACGCUGGCGGCGUGCUUAACACAUGCAAGUCGAACGGUGAAGCGCCUUCCUUUUUGGUGGGUGUGGAUGAGUGGCGAACGGGUGAGUAACACGUGAGUAACCUGCCCCCUUCUUCUGGAUAACCGCAUGAAAGUGUGGCUAAUACGGGAUAUUCUGGGUCUGUCGCAUGAUGGGUCUGGGAAAGAUAUUGUUUCGGUGGGGGAUGGGCUCGCGGCCUAUCAGCUUGUUGGUGGGGUGAUGGCCUACCAAGGCGGUGACGGGUAGCCGGCCUGAGAGGGUGGACGGUCACACUGGGAAUGAGACACGGCCCAGACUCCUACGGGAGGCAGCAGUGGGGAAUAUGGCACAAUGGGCGCAAGCCUGAUGCAGCGACGCCGCGUGAGGGAUGGAGGCCUUCGGGUUGUGAACCUCUUUCGCCAGUGAAGCAGGCCUGCCUCGUUUGUGGGUGGGUUGACGGUAGCUGGAUAAGAAGCGCCGGCUAACUACGUG
rnacentral:rRNA from 1 species